CCGGUCCAGACAUCAAUGUAGGUGCAUGUGUGUGAAAGCGCAUGUGAGCCCUUGGCUCCCCGCGACCCCAAUGAGCAGAGCAGCGGGACCAACAAGAGAGGAGAGGAGUCACAGCCAGGAAUAAGCAGCGCUGGACGGGAGCCCCACAAACAGGCCAGACAAACAGGCGUGGUCUUCAGGAGCACGCCGGAGUUGGCGCGGGAGUUUGCGCAGGGGGGAGCACAGGGUGGAGGCCUGAGACUCCAUGUGUCGGGAGCCCCUGCCACGGAGGAGGACUCCGGACAGAGACCUCAGGGCCACACACCUGGAGGGAAGGCGUCACAGGAGGCGGUCAAUGCAGAAGGAUGGAAGACAGUCACCUCCAGAUCUAGACAUCGCAGAGGUAGAUGUCACACUACUGGAGCAAUUCCCCCAGUGCAGCGGGGAAACAGGUAUGAUGCCCUAGCAUCCCUGGGAGAAUGUACAGCAAUGGAGGCAACAUCCACAGCUACCACCAGACAGGCUGAGAGGUAGCUGGGCAGCCAGAGGAGAAGACAUCGAGUCAUCGUGGUGGGAGACACCCUCCUGAGAGGAAUGGAGGGAGCCACCUGCCGCCCAGAUCCUACAGUACAGGAGGUAUGCUGCCUGCCCAGAGCUAGGAUUCAGGAUGUCACAGCAAGGCUUCCAGACCUAAUCAGGCCCACAGACUACUAUCCCAUGGUCCUCAUCCAUGUUGGAACAAAUGAUGCGGCCCAGAGUAGUCCGGGAUGGGUCAUGGCUGACUACAUGGCUCUGGGAGACAGGCUUAGAGGCUCGGGGGCACAAAUAGUCUUCUCAUCAGUCCUCCCGGUCAGCGACCACAGCCAGCACCAUGGCAACUGCAUUGAGGAGGUCAACUCACGGCUUUGUGAAAGGUACAAGGUAAUCUAGGGGAUAGUGACCACCAGUUGUUAGGAUUCACUAUCUAGCGUAAGGUGGAAAAGACUAGUAGGGCAGUAGUGCUAGGCUUCCGGAAGGCCAACUUCAACAAGCUCAGGAGAUUAGUUAGGGUGGGACUGAGGGGUAAUCGUAUCUGUGAGUUGGGAGUCCAAGAAGGGUGGGAGUUCCUCAAGGGACUGAUCCUAUAGGCACAGAGGUGCACCAUCCCAGUACAUGCAAAGGGAGGCAAGAGCUAAAAAAUCUUCUUGGCUGAGCAGGGAAAUCCAGGAUAGCCUUCAGAGGCUGUGGAAGCAGGAGGCAGCCACCAAGAAGGAGUAUACCUGCUUGGCUCGCACUUGCAGGGAAGCAAUGAGGAAGGCCAAAGCAGUUACAGAACUCAAGUUGGCAGCAAAGAUUAAGGAUAACAAAAAGUUCUUCUUUAAGUACAUAGGGAGCAGGAGGAAGGCUCAGGGUAACACAGGGAUGCUACAGAAUGGACUAGGGCAACUUGUAACUGAUAGAAUGGAAAAAGCAGAGCUCUUAAAUAAUUUCUUUGCUUGUUUUCCUGGACACUGAUACAAAUACACCUCCCAAUGAGUCUUUAGUCUGGAGUGUGAGUAAUAGCAAUCCACCAACAGUUAGCACUGACCUUGUGAAGGGCACUUGGAAGAGCUGGAUGUAGUUAAGUUGGUGGGCCCCGAUGAGCUUCACCCAAGGGUACUAAAGGAAUUGGCUGAUGUCAUAGCAAAACCACUGAUGCAACUGUUCGAGUGCUUGUGGCACUCGGGACAAGUCUCAGAGGACUUGAAAAGGCCAACAUGGUCCCUAUUUUCAAGAAGGAGAGGAAGGAGGACCUGGGUAAUUAUAGGUCACUUAGCCUCACCUCUAUUCUUGGCAAGACCUUAGAAAAAAUCAUAAAGGAUCACAUUUGCAGGGGGUCAGUGAGUCACACAGCGAGUAAGGGGCAACCAGAAUGGGUUUAUAGCAGGCAGAUCCUGCCUGACUAACCUGGUCUCUUUUUAUGACCAGGUCACAAAUUACUUAGCUGCAGGAAUAGAAGUAGAUUUAUUUACCUUGUUUUUAAAAAGCCUUUUGACACAGUGUCGCACCCAAUUCUUAUGAGCAAACUGAGUAGCUGUGAUGUGGAUUUUUUCAGAGUAAGGUGGAUGAAAAGCUGGCUCAAGGGACGCACCCAGAGAGUGGUGGUGGAUGGGUCAGUUUCCCCCUGGUGGGAUGUGGGCAGUGGUGUCCCCCAAGGCUCUGUCCUUGCACCAGUGCUGUUUAAUAUCUUCAUCAGUGAUUUGGAUGAAGGUGUUGAAAGCACCUUGUCCAAAUUCGCAGACGACACUAAAUUAUGGGGUACAGUUAACACAUUGGAGGGCAGGGAGCGAAUUCAGAUAGAUUUGGACAGACUAGGGAAGUGGGCAGAUCAGGAUAGGAUGCAAUUUAACAAGGAUAAAUGCAAGGUGCUGCACCUGGGGAAAAAGAAUCUCCAACACACCUACAGACUGUGAGGUACUAUUCUGAGCACCACAACAGUGGAAAGAGAUCUUGGAGUCCUGGUUGAUGGAACAAUGAACAUGAGCCGCCAGUGUGACGAGGCAAUAAGCAAGGUUAACCGCACUCUUUCUUGCAUCAGCAGGUGCAUCAUGAGCAGGUCUAGGGAAGUGAUAAUUCCCCUCUAUGCGGCAUUGGUGAGGCCACAGAUAGAGUACUGUGUUCAGUUUUGGGUGCUGUACUUCAAGAGGGAAGUGGAUAACCUUGAGAUGGUCCAGAAGAGGGAUACUUGUAUGGUUGAGGGCCUGCAGGUAAGACCCUAUCAAGACAGACUGAAGGACCUGAAUCUCUUCAGCCUCUACAAGAGACGGCUGAGAGGUGAUCUUGUGGCUGUCUACAAACUCAUCGGGGGAGGGGGGCAGCAGGGAAUAGGAUAUUCUUUGUUUGGAGAAAAGGUA